GGCAUGCCAGGAUCACCCCCAUGGGGCAUCUCUUUGAAGGCAGGGAUGAGCAGUCCUCUCUUAUGGCCAAAGGUGGGAUCCUUCCUUGGGAAUCAUCCAUCUGAAUCCUGAAUCCAGAGCACAAAAACAAAGCAAAAAAGCCCCAGUCUACCUUGCAGUCCUAUGUGGCUGCCACAGUCAAGGGAAGAUGUAGAGGACUGCACUGGGCAGCAUCAGCAUUGAUGAGUUGCCCCUGUGAAGGUGGGUCCAGACCCAUCCUGGAAGCCACAUCAGUGGGGCUGCACACUGAAUGCUGGAGCAAUGCUUCCAGGGCUGCACAGCGGUUGAAAAAGGGUCUCAAAGAACUGCACAAUUUCAAACAUGGGCUUCUAGAUCUAUCUAGCUCCUAAUUUAAGCGUCUCUGUCAGAUUUACCAAUGAAAGUUAAUCAUGUUGGGAGUUUGUGGUGAGUGUUGGUGUGAAUACAGAUGUUGCAAUACUUCACCUGCAAACUGGGUCAAUCACCUGUAUACUCUGUUUUAGGGGAUCACAAUUUAGAGCUGAGCAACUACAUUUGCAUGACAGCUCUGCCCUUCUGCUAUUGAAUAUUCGUUCUGCAGGAGGAAGAGUACAUGGUUUGGUUUGAAAAUGGAGCGGCUUUGAGCCAAAUGAGACACUGUGAUGUGUGCCAAGCUUGGACGGCUUGGUGGAAUUAGUAAGGUGAGAAUGACAAAAAUAGUCUGCAAUAUUUUGACAUUGGAAACUUUCUGAGAGCUGCCAAACCUCUCAUCUCUACUGUUGAGUCAGUCACAAAUUGCAUUUAUGUUGCUCCCUGCAGAGCUCGCUGUCUAAAUCCACAAUAAAGCUUGGGGAAGUGCUCAGUGGCCACUGAACAGAGCACGUAUCAGCCAGACUCAUCAGCCCAAAUGUCUUUCUGUCUCCUCUGGAAAGGAACAAUCUCAGCUGGAAAAUCCUAUGGAUGGCACAGGCUUGUCAGUGUCAGCCAGUGUCAGAAAUCUCUUGACCAAGGUGGUGAGAAAUGGUGAGAGUGUUUAAAGGGAGAGCAGCACAUUCCAGAACUUAGAGGUGUGUGAACUGAAGUGCCCAGUACUCUGUGGGUCAACUGAAGUCAGGGCUGUUGUGUCCAAGUGUAUGGGAACAGUUGAGUCCCAGCCUGAAGCACUGAUGGAGCACGUGGGGAAAAGACCAGGUCAGCCCUGGGAGCACAGGUGAAGGCAGAUCAGCUGUGUGAUAGGAAGGGGUGGGAAGGCUGCACCUCUUAGACCUCAUUUAAGGGCUGACUGCCACUGCAGAAGGAUUUCUUCCUGGAGAUCCCUCUUUGGUGAAGCUCUCCUCUGGACCCUUCUGAUACAGGUGCUUAAAGCCAGACAGAUACCAACAGAAAACUUCCAGACUGCCACAGAAGGAGAAUAAAGGAAGACAAGAAGAAAGAAAAUGAGAUGGGAUUUUCCUUAUCUUCUGCUUGCUGUUAGAACUGCUGAGCACAUGCUGUAAACUGGAGCAGCACGAUACGAGUCGGCUGUCAGCAGCAGGUUCAAUUAGGAGUGUUUUACAGCCCAGUGGCAUGAACAGGGAGACCUUGGUUGGAGCCAUGUGUUUUUUUGAUGACCUGAUGUCAAUCAAACAGGAGUCAUAUUUAUCCCAGCCCACUGUUAAUGACCUAAAAACUCAUGGUUGGUCCAGUGUGGCCAAUGACUGGUAAUGGUAGACUCACACCUCAGGCAGCUGUUUGUCCCACCUGUGCUGGCUGCCUCCCAAUGCAAACUUCUUGGCUUAGCCUGCAGAAAGUUAAAGCUCCCAAUCUCCUGCAACCACAGCAACAGAUCUACGCUAAUUUCUUUUUCCUGAAAGAUAUAUUUUUCAUAAAUUUCAUUUUCAACAUUUGCGGUGGGGGCUCUUUUCCCAAACAAAGCAGCCAGUGACUGAGCCUGGGUUUAUUGCCUCCACAAUCCAAAUUGCAGCUAUUAUCGCUAUCUGCAACCUGCAAUUAUCCUCAGCUUGUGUGUUUCAUUUCUUUAUCAAAACAUACUUUGUGCUGAUGAGAGGUGAUAGGCUGGCAGCUUGGGAAGCCGCGUCUGCUCUCCCAACAGCAGCUGCAAAGGCAGAGAGCAGCCCCUCACUCAAUGCAGCAGCUGUGUGAUUGCUGCAGCAUUCAGGAACAUCUCAAGGUGGUGAGGGGAGUUCUGAAGCAUCUCAGCCCCUCCCAAGAUCAGGUCUCCCUGCUUUCCUCUGCCUUACUCUGUGCAGAAUGAAGGGAGCCCACCAUUUCAUGCAUUUUUUCAUGGCCCUGCUGUGUUAUCCGUCCCCUGAGCUGCCACAGCAGUUUUUGUUUCCUUUGCCACGAUGGGGAUUGAUUUACCCAUCCCUAAAGAUCUUCAGGCUGCCAAGCUGUAGGGAUCUGCCAUGCUGGGGCUGCUGUGCAGCUGCGUUUCCUGGGAGACACCUCCUAUUUCAUCCAGCAAUUCCAUCUGGGUGAAGUAGAAUUAAAACUUCAUAAUAACAACUUUGGUCAUUGGGCAAGUUUGUAAAUGGAAAUGGCAGUGAGAUCUGGUGGAUGCCUUCAGGAGGCUCAGUGGCUGCUCAGCAAGGAACCAACCUGAAAUGCUUGGCUCUAAUCUGCAUUUCAAAGUAACUGUGUUGUAAAAUGUCCCUUCUGUUGAAAAUCAACAAAUCCACAGUCUCAAGAAGAUAAGCUACUUGCUCCCCAUCAAUUACCACUUAAUUGGAGGCUGAGGAUCACCCUGCUGUGGUGGUGGAGGGAUGGCUGCCUGCCUUCUUCAUUCCAGCGGGUAAAGUAGAAGAGGGGUAUAGAAUCAUAGAAAAUUAUAGAAUUGUUUGAGUUGGAAGGAACCCUUAAUGGCCAUCUGGUCCAUGGUUCAUUCUACACUGAUGCUGAAUUUAAGCAUCCGAUAGGUGUUGAGAUGCUGUAAUUUUGCUUUCCAAGCUGAAGGUGCUGCAGACAUUCCCAUUUUUGCUCAAAAUGGAAUGAAAAUAUUUGGUUUUAAUCACUGACGUGGAACUGUUCCGUUUUUCUUCCUUCCUUUUUCUUCCAGCAAGAAAACUUAACAAAAAAUCUGCUUGAAUUUGGAUCAAAUUGAUUUCUUUUUCCCACUUUUUAACUUGGUAGUUGAACUGAAAAAUCGAUUACUCACCCAGCAUUGCUCCCUACACACAUCCAGGAGUAGAAACUGUUGUUUCUGUUCAAUAGCAGGUGCUCAGUAAUUUGAUAAAAUGAAGGCCGGGGCAAGAACAGCUCACCUCGUUGCCUUUUCUAACUCAUCCCAUCUCACCUGCAAUCCCUCAGGGCUGCAGGGGAGACCCCAGAGUGCUUCCUUUCCUCCAUGCUGUGUCCAGCGUGUGGAGUUCAGAGCCAGUUUAGAUGGCAAUACACGACAAGAGCUUGGUUUUGAUCCUAAUGGCUGCCGGUGGUUUUCUGAAGUAUGCUUCGACAUCCACGUAAGUUUUGUUGGACACAAUAACCAGUUCCCCCCUGAGAAGCACUCUGAUAGUUCCUGCCUCAUAAUCUUGUAUAAUAACAGCCUCCAAAGGAAAAAUGUUGUCACUAAAUGUGAAGUGCUAAUGACUGUGAUGCUGUGUCACAAUAAGAAACAGAAGAGGAAAAACAAGUUUGUCAGUGGCAC